rnacentral:rRNA from 1 species
GAUGAACGCUGGCGGCGUGCCUAAUACAUGCAAGUCGAGCGAACAGACGAGGAGCUUUCUCCUCUGACGUUAGCGGCGGACGUGUGAGUAACACGUGGAUAACCUACCUAUAAGACUGGGAUAACUUCGGGAAACCGUAGCUAAUACCGUAUAAUAUAUUGAACCGCAUGGUUCAAUAGUGAAAGACGGUUUUGCUGUCUCUUAUAGAUGGAUCCGCGCCGCAUUAGCUAGUUGGUAAGGUAACGGCUUACCAAGGCGACGAUGCGUAGCCGACCUGAGAGGGUGAUCGGCCACACUGGAACUGAGACACGGUCCAGACUCCUACGGGAGGCAGCAGUAGGGAAUCUUCCGCAAUGGGCGAAAGCCUGACGGAGCAACGCCGCGUGAGGGAUGAAGGUCUUCGGAUCGUAAAACUCUGUUAGUAGGGAAGAAAAAAUGUGUAAGUAAAUAUGCAGGUCUUGACGGUACCUAAUCAGAAAGCCACGGCUAACUACGUG